rnacentral:lncRNA from 1 species
GAUGACUGGAGUAGCAUGUGCAUCUACGUUGACGCGAGGUUGAUUGAUCUAGGCUGCAACAGAGUGUAGAUCAGCCGGAGGAGAAAUCCAAACUUCAGCAGCAAAAGGCUCCCAUAUCAAGCGAGAGAAAGAGCACUCAAAGAAGAGAUGAUGGUGAGUCUCUAUUUCCAGAUUACAAAGAGCGCACGUUCCUGAGACAUUUAAUCCCCAACGCCUCAAGCGAUC